rnacentral:rRNA from 1 species
AUUGAACGCUGGCGGCAGGCCUAACACAUGCAAGUCGAGCGGAGCGGCGGACGGGUGAGUAAUGCCUAGGAAUCUGCCUGGUAGUGGUGGAUGACGUCCGGAACCGGGCACUAAUACCACAUACUCUCAGAUGAGCCUCGGUCGGAUUGGCUAGUUGGUGGGGUAAAGGCCUACCAAGGCGACGAUCCGUAACUGGUCUGAGAGGAUGAUCAGUCACACUGGAACUGAGACACGGUCCAGACUCCUACGGGAGGCAGCAGUGGGGAAUAUUGGACAAUGGGCGAAAGCCUGAUCCAGCCAUGCCGCGUGUGUGAAGAAGGUCUUCGGAUUGUAAAGCACUUUAAGUUGGGAGGCGUUACCAACAGAAUAAGCACCGGCUAACUCCGUGCCAGCCGCCGCGGUAAUUC